GAGGACGACCAGCCACACUGGAACUGAGACACGGUCCAGACACCUACGGGUGGCAGCAGUCGAGAAUUUUUCACAAUGGGGGAAACCCUGAUGGAGCGACGCCGCGUGGGGGAUGAAGGGCUUCGGCUCGUAAACCCCUGUCAUUUGUGACCAAGGCUGCCGGUUGAACAUAUCGGCAGCUUGAUGGUAGCGAAAGAGGAAGGGACGGCUAACUCUGUGCCAGCAGCCGCGGUAAUACAGAGGUCCCAAGCGUUGUUCGGAUUCACUGGGCGUAAAGGGUGCGUAGGUGGUCGGGCAAGUCUGAUGUGAAAUCUCCGAGCUCAACUCGGAAAAUGCAUCGGAAACUGCCUGGCUAGAGGAUUGGAGGGGAGACUGGAAUUCUCGGUGUAGCAGUGAAAUGCGUAGAUAUCGAGAGGAACACCAGUGGCGAAGGCGAGUCUCUGGACAAUUCCUGACACUGAGGCACGAAAGCUAGGGGAGCAAACAGGAUUAGAUACCCUGGUAGUCCUAGCCGUAAACGGUGCACGUUUGCUGUAAUCGGAAUCGACCCCGAUUGUGGCGAAGCUAACGCGUUAAACGUGCCGCCUGGGGAGUACGGUCGCAAGAUUAAAACUCAAAGAAAUUGACGGGGGCCUGCACAAGCGGUGGAGUAUGUGGCUCAAUUCGAUUCGACGCGAAGAACCUUACCUGGCCUUGACAUGCACGUGGUAGAAGUGUGAAAGCAUAACGACCCCGCAAGGGGAGCGUGCACAGGUGCUGCAUGGCUGUCGUCAGCUCGUGUCGUGAGAUGUUGGGUUAAGUCCCGCAACGAGCGCAACCCCUGUGUCCUGUUGCCACCCGGUCGAGAGACUGGAGCACUCUGGACAGACUGCCUCGCUUAAACGAGGAGGAAGGUGGGGAUGACGUCAAGUCAGUAUGGCCCUUACGGCCAGGGCUGCACACGUACUACAAUGCCCGGCACAAAGGGAAGCGAAAUCGCAAGGUGGAGCAAAUCCCCAAAAACCGGGCUCAGUUCAGAUUGUCGUCUGCAACUCGACGGCAUGAAGCUGGAAUCGCUAGUAAUGGCGCAUCAGCUACGGCGCCGUGAAUACGUUCCCAGGCCUUGUACACACCGCCCGUCACAUCAUGAAAGCCGGUUGUACCCGAAGUCACCGUGCCAACCCGCAAGGGAGGCAGGUGCCGAAGGUAUGGCUGGUGAUUGGGAUGAAGUCGUAACAAGGUA
rnacentral:rRNA from 1 species